AUUGAACGCUGGCGGCAGGCCUAACACAUGCAAGUCGAACGAGCGGCGGACGGGUGAGUAAUGUCUGGGAAACUGCCUGAUGGAGGGGGAUAACUACUGGAAACGGUAGCUAAUACCGCAUACCAUCGGAUGUGCCCAGAUGGGAUUAGCUUGUCGGUGGGGUCACGGCUUACCAAGGCGACGAACCCUAGCUGGUCUGAGAGGAUGACCAGCCACACUGGAACUGAGACACGGUCCAGACUCCUACGGUAGGCAGCAGUGGGGAAUAUUGGACAAUGGGCGCAAGCCUGAUACAGACAUGCCGCGUGUGUGAAGAAGGCCUUCGGGUUGUAAAGUACUUUCAGCGGGGAGGCGUUACCCGCAGAAGAAGCACCGGCUAACUCCGUGCCAGCAGCCGCGGUAAUUC
rnacentral:rRNA from 1 species